CAGACACCGAGCCGACGGCGUCGCCGGCGUCCUUCCACACCUGUAAAAUGUUAUUUUUUGUUUUGGUUGUUGCUGAUAUUCUCAGUGUACAGAAGGGGCCGACACUGCUGUUCCGACACAAAAAUGACCCGGUUUAGGAGGGGAAGAUGGCAGAGAUGUUUUCAUCAGGGCCUGUGUUCUGUGCAGGGGUGGAAGCAGCGGGAGGUGCAGGUAAAUCUAUGGAAGUCCUCAAAACUACAGCACCGUGAGAGCCAGGAUCACUCUCAGUGAAUGGAUGGGGAAUAAUCCUGGCUCUGUUCCUUUCAGCCGUGCUGUAGCAGCUACAUUUGAUCCUGGAAAUUUCCUCUCCAUUUGGAGACGUGAAAAGGAUUAGAAAUGUUAUGUGCCCGGUUAAAAGGUUAACUUAUAUGAUUUUGCAUGUCUGUGUUGUUUUAAAUGAAUUCACCUAAAUUUCAGAGGUGUCUCAACUAUGUGUCUCUAUUAGGCACCCGGACAGAUUGUCUCAUUGUUUUUUCUAAUUCAGAUCUGUAACUGCCAGAGUGAAUCUUCAUUCAGAUGGAUCACCCCAAACCCGCCCGCUGCUGGCAGGACCUCGGGCUGCCUCUCUGGUUGGAACAGUCCCCUGCAAGACUGACGGCUUAAUCCUGGCUUCUCCCAGCAUUCAAAAAUUGAGCUAGAGAACAAAGUGUCCAGCUGGACCCUUCCACGAUUCGGGAGGUGGCUUUGGCCAUAAGGGCUCCAACACCCGGCAGGCGGAACGUGGAUCCCUUUCCAGGCAAGCGGCGCGUGAAAACGGUGGUGAGGAAGGUUGCUGUAAGGCACACCGUGACACUCGCAGCGGUUCGGACCGUGCAGG